UAUGUUCUACAGACAAGGAUGUCCCUAGUCAUGGUGCAUUAGUGAAACCAUGCAGACACUACGACAAUGGAUGAAUGGGCACUGCGUAACAAUCGCCAGACAGGAAUGUUCCCUCCCAGUUGGGGAACAUUUCAGUGGUCGAGGACAUUUGUCCUUGGAUCUUCACGUAAACUUCCUCCAAGGUGGACUUCGGGAUACCCAACAAUACAGAGUUGCCAAGCAGAGGCUAAUAGCCAAGUGCCACUUGAGGAUUUAAACUCGUGUGGUGGAGGAUGGGGACCAGAGCAAUACAUCGUAUGGAGUGUUUGAAGAGAAGAGAGGAGCGAAAUCAAGUCUCUAAUUUAUGAUCCUGAAAUAAAGGAGAAGAAUGAAGACCACAGGAGAAGGAGAGACUUCUGAGAUAAUUAACUAACUCUGGAUCUUGUCAAGCCUUUUAUAUAUGUUUCAGUGAGGUGAGGUUUUCUCAUUGACCUAUAGAGGAGACAAAUUGGCCAAGUUUAUUUCUUAAUGAGAAGAUGGAACCACCUUGACAAUGGAGGUGACAUGAGCACCUACACCCAGAGUAUUUACUUUUGCAAAAGCACCCAGUAACAAUCGGCUGCUAUUAAAGUUCAAACCUCGCUGAGUCCUGUUCAUUCUUCUC